AGACAUGCAAGUCGAACGGGAAACAUUUGAUAGUAAUAUUGGAUGUUUCUAGUGGCGAAAGGGUGCGUAACACGUGGGUAAUCUACCGUAAAGUUGGGAAUAACUUCGAGAAAUCGAUGCUAAUACCGGAUGUGAUUUAUUUGGGACAUCCCGAAUAAAUGAAAGCUGGGGACCUUCGGGCCUGGCGCUUUACGAUGAGCCCGCGGCCUAUCAGCUUGUUGGUAAGGUAACGGCUUACCAAGGCUAAGACGGGUAGCCGGUCUGAGAGGAUGGUCGGCCACACUGGAACUGAGACACGGUCCAGACACCUACGGGUGGCAGCAGUCGAGAAUCAUUCACAAUGGGGGAAACCCUGAUGGUGCGACGCCGCGUGGGGGAUGAAGGUCUUCGGAUUGUAAACCCCUGUCAUUUGUGAACAACCGUUUGAAUUUAAUAGAUUCAAACCUGAUAGUAGCGAAAGAGGAAGGGACGGCUAACUCCGUGCCAGCAGCCGCGGUAAUACGGAGGUCCCAAGCGUUGUUCGGAUUUACUGGGCGUAAAGGGUGCGUAGGUGGCCAGGAAAGUCUGAUGUGAAAGCCCCGAGCUCAACUCGGGAAUUGCAUUGGAUACUACUUGGCUUGAGGAUCGGAGGGGAGACUGGAAUUCUCGGUGUAGCAGUGAAAUGCGUAGAUAUCGAGAGGAACACCAGUGGCGAAGGCGAGUCUCUGGACGAUUCCUGACACUGAGGCACGAAAGCUAGGGGAGCAAACAGGAUUAGAUACCCUGGUAGUCCUAGCCGUAAACGGUGCACACUUGCUGUAGGCGGAUUCGACCCCGUCUGUGGCGGAGCAAACGCGUUAAGUGUGCCGCCUGGGGAGUACGGU
rnacentral:rRNA from 1 species